CAAUUUUCUUCCAUUAUUCACCAAGAAUUCUUCAUCAAUUGUUAUUCUUUGAAGUGAAGAUUUAAGAUUUGUUGAAAAACAAUUGUUAAUCCUUGAUUCUAUCGAUUGUUUUUAUGAAGAAAAGAAUACAGUUUGGGAACCAGUAACAAAAAUUCGUGGUCAAGUAUCAAAGAUCUUCACGUGGAGAAGUAGCUAGCCAUCUACGAUUCUUUGGAGAAUCAAGAAGGUUGGGUGAUGAUAGUUGCGGCAGAUGUUGAGUUGGAGCUAUGAGGAACCGAGAGCGUCGUGUCUUCAUACAUGGGCGUCACUCUUAUUCUCGUUGAAUAUUGUUAUUCCACUGCCAUAUUUUCUUUUUUUUCCAAGACAUUAUUACCUUAGUAUCAUUGAUGACAUUCAAUACUAUGAGCCAAUAUUUCUGUUGUUUUGAUUAGUAUUAAUAAAUACACUUCUUUUCUUUAUUUUGAGUUAAGUUAAAUGCCGUCAGUUAUUGCAUAUACUGUUAUUAAACCCCCCAUCUUCUUCCCCACUUCUUAAUCCCUCUCCCUUAGUC